ensembl:lncRNA novel transcript, antisense to UTRN
GCCCAUCAAUGGGAGAAGGUCUGUUAUGGGAAGACUGUAUUGAAUUAAAAGGUUAAUAUCAGGCUGAGCUCAGUGGCUCAUACCUGUAAUCCCAGCACUUUGGGAGGUUGAUGCUAUUACUAUCUCUACUUUACUCAGGCACAGAGCAGCUAAGCCAUUUGUCCAGGUUCACAGAGCUAGCAGGUGGCCAUGCUUACACCCACAGCACCUGAUACUGUCUGAACCAUUCCCUAAAGUAUUUCUACAGAAGAGUACUAAUAAGAUUUUUAAAUCCUGCAGGAUUUUUCUUAUUAUUCUUUUCAAAUAUUGUGUAAUCUAAUACCAUGCCAUCCUUGAUAUCUAACUCAUUUUAGAGAUAAAAAUGCUUACCCUAAAUACCAUCAUAUAAUCUAUAUUUCUAUAACCCCAACAGCAAUAUUGCAGGUUAGAAUCCAAGUGUGCAGAAUAUUUGUGAAGAUCAGUGUAGAUAAUACUGAAAUGACAGUGAUGAGGAAGAAGGUA